UCACUUGAAAAACACACAAGCUAUGCCCAAAUCUGAAAAAAACAUGAGUUUACCGGUUCAACCUACAUCACUGCAGUACCCGAUUCUUUACCUCCCCCUCUUCCUUCAGUUCAACAUUUCCCCUUCUAGCCAGACGUUUGUUACGAUUAUGAAGCAUCUAAUGCUGUUAAUCACCACAACUAUCCUAGUUGGCUUCCCUUCACCCCUUCUAUAUAACCCAAAGAAUUCAUUCCAUACCAUACUCCUCUUAUUAUCAACGCAGACAUACCUUCACCAGUAAUGGCUUCCAAGAAUCCAAAAGUGAAAAAGUCGCUCUUCCCGAAAUUUUAAGUGGCUUUUUGUGUCUGCUGUGGUGUAUGAAUACAGAGAUAUUUCUGGAAGGGUUUACUCGAGUCCAAUAUCCGAAUCAAAGAGGCAAUGAAUUGGAUGAAUGACAGGAGUUAAAUAACACAGUUCAGUUAACCACAGAGACUAUUAAUAGGAUGGAGAGAGAUUGUAAAGAGUGUAUGCAUGAGCCUCCCCAGUAAAUUGUAACUUAAACGCAUCAGCCGGAGAUAAUAAAAUCAACGUCGAAGCAACUAAUUUGAAAAUGAAUGAUUGCUGCUAGAGGAGCUCCGGCUGUUUGAUAAUCGGGUGUAUGAUGUUGUCUAUCAAGGUCAUGGAUACAUGAG